rnacentral:tRNA from 1 species
GGGGUUGUAGCUCAGUGGUAGAGUGCUUGCCUAGUAUGCAUGAGGCAUUUGGUUCGAUCCCCAGUACCA